CAGUAAACUGUCUUCUGACCACAAACUGAAGCUCGCUUUCCUACUCAUUGUAGAUGGUGUCCUCAUAGCAUCUAACCAAACCGGUAGGCCUACAUUUAAAUAUGUAGAGAUGUUGGCAGAUUUAGAGAAAUUCCUUUCGUUUCCUUGGGGUAGAGAGUCGUUUAUGAAGACGGUUGAAGCGAUGACACCCGAGAAACGGAUUCUCGCUAAGAGCACCGGUAAAAGACAGCUCACAAACGAUCCUAUUCAGAAUUUGGUGAAGCAACUCCAGCAGAUCACAUUCCGUCUUAAAGGUUUCCCGCAUGCCCUGCAGCUCUUAGC
rnacentral:sRNA from 1 species